rnacentral:tRNA from 3 species
GCGGGCGUGGCGGAAUUGGUAGACGCGCCGGAUUUAGGUUCCGGUGUCGCAAGACGUGGGGGUUCGAGUCCCUUCGCCCGCACCA